rnacentral:misc_RNA from 1 species
GGUUGGAUCAUUAUCAAAAGAAGUGCUUUAGAGCACCCUUUAACCGCUGGUGGCUAUCUAAACAAUGGCUGCCAGUCAACCUUGUGUGAAUCGUUAUUGUCUCUGGCAGUCUCUGCUUGCGGGUAGCAGGUACUUGUACUUGUUGCUAGCGGCAGCUGCCAGUCUAUUUGUUAAACCCCUUUUUUUAAACCCGUCUUAAUCAAAUAUUAAAUUUGAAACAACUUUUGACAACGGAUCUCUUGGCUCUCGCAACGAUGAAGAACGCAGCGAAAUGCGAUACGUAGUGUGAAUUGCAGAACCGUGAAUCAUCGAAUCUUUGAACGCAUAUUGCGCCUUUGGGUAUCCCUGGAGGCAUGCCUGUUUGAGAAUCAUUUAACUCAUCACCCCAAGGUUGGAGUCUAGGCUCUGGCUUGAGUGUGGAUUUGGGCCGUUGCAGUCUGACUGCAUGGCCUUGAAUGCAUUGACCCGACUCUGGUUUUACUUUACCCAAGUCAAAGUGUUAUCAAUUAUGGCCUUGGCUGUAUAUUUCACUGCGCCCUGGGUAAGCAACGGUAGAUCCAUUCUUGCUGGGCUCACUUUAACUGUUCUUACGAAUAGACCCUUCUCGCUGGUAGCGUUAUGCUCGCUGGCUUGAUAUCUUGGUCUCAAAUCAGGCAAGAGUACCCGCUGAACUUAAGCAUAUCAAUAAGCGGAGGAAAAGAAACUAACAAGGAUUCCCCUAGUAACGGCGAGUGAAGCGGGAAAAGCUCAAAUUUGAAAUCUUUCGGGUUCCCUGAACGAAUUGUAGUUUCGAGAAGUAUUUUCGGAGGCAAGCCAGGCAUAAGUCACUUGGAACAGGGCAUCGUAGAGGGUGACAAUCCCGUCUUUGGUCUGGUCUUUGCUUCCAUGUGAUAUACUUUCAAAGAGUCGGGUUGUUUGGGAAUGCAGCCCAAAAUGGGUGGUAAAUACCAUCUAAAGCUAAAUAACGGCGAGAGACCGAUAGCGAACAAGUACCGUGAGGGAAAGAUGAAAAGAACUUUGAAAAGAGAGUUAAAUAGUACGUGAAAUUGUCAAAAGGGAAACGCUUGAAACCAGUAUUGGCUGUUGAAUACCACAUGUUCUCUUGGGAAUGAGUGCUCUAUUCAGCAGGCGAGUCAACAUCAGUUUGACUUGGAGGAAAAACUUUGAGAAAGGUAGCCUUCGGGCAUUAUAGUCUCAAAGCAUACUCUGGGUUAGACUGAGGUUUGCAGGGCAACCUUGGAGGAACUAGUCGCCUUUUGAGUCAAGUGUAUAGACAGCGUGCUGACUAUGCUCGUGGUGAUAAAGCCCGGUUAGCUUACUACCUUUGCCCUUUGGAUGUUGACGAAAUGGUUUUAAACGACCCGUCUUGAAACACGGACCAAGGAGUCUAACAUAUAUGCGAGUAUUUGGGUGGUAAACCCAUGUGCGUAAUGAAAGUGAUAAGGUGGGAUCUUCGGUGCACCAUCGACCGGUCUGGAUUUUUUUGAUAGAUCUGAGUAAGAGCAUAUCUGUUGGGACCCGAAAGAUGGUGAACUAUGCCUGAAUAGGGUGAAGCCAGAGGAAACUCUGGUGGAGGCUCGUAGAGAUUCUGACGUGCAAAUCGAUCUUCAAAUUUGGGUAUAGGGGCGAAAGACUAAUCGAACCAUCUAGUAGCUGGUUCCCUC